rnacentral:misc_RNA from 1 species
UUAACCCUUGUGGAGGAGGACGCCGAAGGUGGGGCUAAUGACUGGGGUGAAGUCGUAACAAGGUAGCCGUACCGGAAGGUGCGGCUGGAUCACCUCCUAACAGGGAGACAACAAAAUGUUUAAUAUUAUUAUUUUGUCACCUUAGGUCGAUCGGUAUCUCACAUUCUUAAUUUAUUAAGGAUUUUAUUUCCUAAGUUUUUUCUAGGUCACACCCAUUACUUUUCCUGGGCCAUUAGCUCAGGUGGUUAGAGCGCACCCCUGAUAAGGGUGAGGUCCCUGGUUCAAGUCCAGGAUGGCCCAUAUCUCUAUGUUGGGGGUAUAGCUCAGUUGGUAGAGCGCCUGCUUUGCAAGCAGGAUGUCAGCGGUUCGAGUCCGCUUACCUCCACUGAUUACCACCUCUUCCAUAAUUAUUAAGGAAAUGUUUUGAGUAGUGAUCAAAUUCUGAACGAAUCUAGCUUCCUAAUGAAUUCAUUAAGAUGCUGGACUCAUUGAAUUAUUUUCAUUGUUUUCAGAGAACCUUGACAACUGCAUAGAUUAUUUUUAAAGACAAUAAGCAUCUUUAUGAUGCAGAUUUAUUAUUUGUGCGAAUGCAUUAAUAACAAUUCUAUUAAGCUGAUGCUUCAAUUAUGAAGUUAUUGGUCAAGCUACAAAGGGCUCACGGAGGAUACCUAGGCACACAGAGGCGAUGAG